rnacentral:snRNA from 1 species
AUAGUUGCCUGGCAGGGGAGAGUCACAAAGGUUUUCCCAGAGCAAGACUCACCAUUGUUCCCAGUGUGCUGACCUGCAGUUUCCCCAAAUGCAGAAAAUUCACCUGCAUCACCUGUAGCAGUGGGACUGUGUUCAUGCUUUGCCGGU